AAGACUAUAGACCUGCGGAGUACCUGCGGAAGGAUCAUUACCGAGUUAUACAACUCAUCAACCCUGUGAACAUACCUAUAACGUUGCCUCGGCGGGAACAGACGGCCCCGUAACACGGGCCGCCCCCGCCAGAGGACCCCCUAACUCUGUUUCUAUAAUGUUUCUUCUGAGUAAACAAGCAAAUAAAUUAAAACUUUCAACAACGGAUCUCU
rnacentral:misc_RNA from 1 species